rnacentral:lncRNA from 1 species
AAUCUCUCAUCCCACCAAACUCUCUGAUGUCCAUCAACAAGAGUAUCCACAUGUACAUUCGCUCUAGGGACAAGCUUCCCCAUCCAUUUGUACACCUUAGCCCAUUUACAAUAAUGCCCCGAUUACUAGGAACCUUCUGAUAUCAGUAACUUGAGAUCUCCUAUCUCUUUGACGACACACCUUAUGAAGCCGAUGAAAUCUCAGAUUUGGAUAUUUAUGGAAACAAAGAUUUCUCAAGUCACUUAUAUUCUACA